rnacentral:rRNA from 1 species
CCUACGGGGCGCAGCAGUGGGGAAUAUUGGGCAAUGGAGGAAACUCUGACCCAGCAACGCCGCGUGAAGGAUGAAGGUUUUCGGAUUGUAAACUUCUGUCGCGAGGGAUGAAGAAUGACGGUACCUCGUAAGAAAGCCCCGGCUAACUACGUGCCAGCAGCCGCGGUAAUACGUAGGGGGCAAGCGUUAUCCGGAUUUAUUGGGUUUAAAGGGUGCGCAGGCGGUCUGUUAAGUCAGCGGUCAAAGCCCGGGGCUCAACCCCGGCCCGCCGUUGAAACUGCCAGUCUCGAGUUGGAGAGAAGUAU